CGUAGCAUAACUACCCUGGCAGACAUGUAGGACCUCAGCCUAUGUCUUAGUUUUUUUUAAAAACUACUUCACAUUCUAUCUUUCUAACAGAACCCCUGAGCCAGCCAUCAGAUAAAAGACCUGGAAGAGUUAAGCAAACUUAAAUUUAUCCCAGUAAAAUAGAAAUAUACUAGUUUGUCAGGACCCAGUUUUCAGGGCCUGGAUUCUGGUGCCAGAAAUCAGAGCCACUGAUAUUCCAGACUGAUAAGGCACCUGCAACGCUUGACCCUGAGAGGAAACGGCUACCAGAUUUGGCAGGUUAAUCGUUUGGGAAUUCUCUUAAAAGAUGUUGCUUCUUCCAUGCUCAAGCAGUAGCAGUGAUGAAAGAGUUACGUGUGUGAUUCCAGUUCAUGGUGCUAUUUCCUACCAUUUAAAGGCCUAAAAUAGCUUGGAAUUUGGGACACCUUAAGGCAGGAGUGAGCAACUGGCAGGGGGCUGAUCCUCUGAAGAACUUCUGAGGAUCUGGAAGGCUGAGCCCUUCCUCUCUUUGACUGGAAAUUGCAGCCUUUUCCUUGAAACACUAGGAGGAGAUGAGCUACCAACAAUCUCUAGAACAAUGCUUUUCGUUAUUGAAAACACUUGCAUGGACCAAGGUCACCCUCCCCUCCAAUUGUCUCAACUACACGUCUGUGAAAUAAAAGCAAGCUGUUGAGUGAUAGAAUUAUCUUUUCGGCCUGAGCACCCAAAACAUCAUUUUUGGACAGUUCUGUAAUAAUAGACCACUGCAAUUCAACAUUCC